AUGAUAAAAUAAUUAUUCAAAAUGGACUCGAAUUUAACAUCUGUAUCUGCCUCUUGCCUUCUGCAUUUUGGCAGGUUUGAAAACUACAGCUAGGAAUACCUAGUAAUGAAAACUGUGAGUUCAAGACUGAUUGAUCUGCGAGGUCUUCCUUGACAGAGCUCCUGAAUGAUCCCUCCAUCUGUAUGCAAAAUGACAUUUGAAGAACCACUUUUCAUUUGUUUUGAGUUUUUUUGAUGUGUACAGAUUAGUCAUUGGUGCCUCUGGGUUUCCAUUGAAAAUAAUGCAAGAAGAGUCUAUCAAU